CUUGAACGCUGGCGGCAGGCCUAACACAUGCAAGUCGAGCGAGCGGCGGACGGGUGAGUAAUGUCUGGGAAACUGCCUGAUGGAGGGGGAUAACUACUGGAAACGGUAGCUAAUACCGCAUACCAUCAGAUGUGCCCAGAUGGGAUUAGCUAGUAUGUGGGGUAACGGCUCACCUAGGCGACGAUCCCUAGCUGGUCUGAGAGGAUGACCAGCCAGCCUGGAGCUGAGACACGGUCCAGACUCCAAGGGGAGGCAGCAAGGGUGAAUAUUGCACAAUGGGCGCAAGUCUGAUGCAACCAUGCCGCGUGUGUGAAGAAGGCCUUCGGAUUGUAAAUCACUUUCAGAGGGGAGGCGUUACCCGCAGAAGAAGCACCAGCUAACUCCGUGCCAGCAGCCGCGGUAAUAC
rnacentral:rRNA from 1 species